UGGACCAGUCCACCAAGGCUAACUCUCCUCUCUUCCUCCCCUGCAGGUGUUGUUGGACCAGUCCACCAAGGCUAACUCUCCUCUCUUCCUCCCCUACAGGUGUUGUUGGACCAGUCCACCAAGGCUAACUCUCCUCUCUUCCUCCCCUACAGGUGUUGUUGGACCAGUCCACCAAGGCUAACUCUCCUCUCUUCCUCCCCUACAGGUGUUGUUGGACCAGUCCACCAAGGCUAACUCUCCUCUCUUCCUCCCCUCCAGGUGUUGUUGGACCAGUCCACCAAGGCUAACUCUCCUCUCUUCCUCCCCUCCAGGUGUAGUUAGACCAGUCCACCAAGGCUAACUCUCCUCUCUUCCUCCCCUCCAGGUGUUGUUGGACCAGUCCACCAAGGCUAACUCUCCUCUCUUCCUCCCCUACAGGUGUUGUUGGACCAGUCCACCAAGGCUAACUCUCCUCUCUUCCUCCCCUCCAGGUGUUGUUGGACCAGUCCACCAAGGCUAACUCUCCUCUCUUCCUCCCCUACAGGUGUUGUUGGACCAGUCCACCAAGGCUAACUCU